rnacentral:rRNA from 1 species
UACGUAGGGGGCAAGCGUUGUCCGGAAUCAUUGGGCGUAAAGAGCGUGUAGGCGGCUUGGUAAGUCCGCUGUGAAAGUCCAGGGCUCAACCCUGGAAUGCCGGUGGAAACUGUCAAGCUUGAGUCCGGAAGAGGCGAGUGGAAUUCCUGGUGUAGCGGUGAAAUGCGCAGAUAUCAGGAGGAACACCAAUGGCGAAGGCAGCUCGCUGGGACGUGACUGACGCUGAGACGCGAAAGCGUGGGGAGCAAACAGG